AUACUCUAUAGUGAACUCAUUAUUUCUUACUUGCAGUUGAAGUGGUGUGCUUGGGUUGCGCUAUACUGCUCCUGCAUCAGCUUUGCCAACUCGAGAGUCAAUGACGAUACGAAACAAAUGCUCAGCAGCUUCAUGUUGUCCAUUUCUGCAGUUGUGAUGUCCUACCUUCAAAACCCACAGCCAAUGACACCUCCAUGGUCCAAUAUAUAAACAGUUCUAUAUUAUCGAUUGUUUUUGGUUGAAUGGAAAUGUAUAAUUGCCUCACCAUACUUGUAUUAAAAUUGUACUGCUGAAUGACGGUGACAAUUUUAGUUUUAAUAAACUAGCUAAUGGUGCCAGGUUUGUAUUAUGAUGUGCAAUAUGGAACAGGUGCCAACAUUUGAUGAUGUGCAUGAGUUACAAAAUGGCUUGGUUUGUUAAUCUUUUAAUUUGUGUAGCCUGCACUAUAUAAUUCUUGUGUUAUACUUCCCAUCCAAAAGUUUCUUGUAAGCAGCUUGUCUUUUUUUUUCUUUAACAAAUGGACAAAUUUGUAUUGUCCCAUAACAUUAUCAUGUCAUUCAUGCCAGUGUAAAAGGCAAUAGCAUGAAGGUCAAAGCUUGAAAUAUCCUGGAAUAUGAAGUACCAUACGAGUUGAUCCUCGAGUGACAACCACAUUAGUACAGUAGAUAGCCUCCAUAUUAGACAUAAAAGGAAGACUUGAUCACCACGUUAGAAAUAGAAGAGUGAAAGGGAAUUGGGAGUGGAAUGGUAGGCAGUCAGUAUGGGGGAAGGGAGACUUUUGGAGUACAGUACAGUACUGUCCAUUCAGUAGAGCCAGGCUGUCACCUGAUCGGAUGACAGGCAAAGUUAUCAGUCACUAGCACUGAUUUUAUAGUUUUCUUCGAGGUGACAUCAACUGCAUAAUAUCUUUUUGAUCAUGAAAUUACAUUAACUCCAACCAGUUACUGCUGGCUAAUAAUUCUUAGACAUAAAGGAAAGAGGACAAAUCAGAAGAGCAUGUUAAGAUAGGGCUACCUGAAUAGGUUUCAGUUGUGGUUACUCCAUCAGAGGGGCGUUCAUGGGGAUAAAGACAGAUUCUACAGUAAAUUGUUAAUUCCUCUUUUAGGACUGCCUCCUCUUCCAUUUUGCUUAGUUAUGCAAAGUUGUUGUUUUAUGGUUACAAAGGAAACAUAUCAUUCCUUAAUUUCUUAUUUUGACUGUAUCAGAAUUUAGAAUUUCUAAAAUAUAGUUACAGGUUAUAAGUACAGUAUGUAUAACAGUUUAUACAGUACUAUACUUAGUGUAUAAAAUAUAUAUUAAUGCAGGCCAUAUGUAUUAUUGUUAAAUAUGUACUUUUGUAUUUCAUAGUAAACCUUUUACCAUAAUAUAUAAUUAUCUUCUCCUUUCAAUAGUGCAUUUGUCAUGUUGAAUUAUAUGGUAUAUCAGGAUUUUAUCGGUACUACCUUGUUGACUGCGUGUUCCUCCCGUUACUAUACUGUAUACAGUAUCUCUCCUUCCCAUUACAGUAUUACGCUGAGAUGUAUCAGUAAGGUGGUUGGGCUCACUGGCUCAAGCAAAGAAUAUUCACUAUACAAUACUAUAUUGAAUAUAAAUUCAGUGGAUUUUGUACUACAUGGGAACCUGGUCCAAGAUAGGGAUUUUAAUCUAGCCAGUGACCUGUACAAUGAAUUUGGCAUCUAGAUAAUGCAGAAUUCCUCCAAGACUGAUAAUUUUAAAUUAAUAUUACUAAAAAAUUCAAACAGUGCUUUUUCCAUGGGAUUUCUGCAUCAAAUUAUGCACAAAUGUAUGUCCUAUCAUGUGCACAAAUAAAGGGUGAAUGCUGUGGAUCUUGUUGUCCAUUAAAAUCUGUACAAUAAAGCUUUCAGUCACAUGCCAUCCCUAAGGUG
rnacentral:lncRNA from 1 species